CGGAACCUAAGCGGCCCUGGCGGGCGGCCUGGGAGAGGCACGUGCUUGGAGCCUCUGCCCACAGCCCCUGCGACACCCCGAGAAAAUGAGGCUGCCCAUCCGACCCCCACGAGAAGCCAGCUCUGAACUUCCCAGCCCUCCGCCUCCAGGAAGCCCUCCAUCUCCCCGGCGAGGAGGAGGAGGGGGCCUGGCACGUGAGAAGCGCCCAAUUGAGGUUUCUCUGGACUUUUUUGACCUCUGUGCCCUCUGGCAGGACAAAUCUUCUGCUUCUUUCAUGUGACAGAUCUUCAGAUGCUUGGAGUCAGACAUCACAUCUUCCCCUAACCUCCUCUUUUCCGGGCUAAACUUUGCACAGAGGACACAGCAAAAGACCCGGAGUCAGAAAGACCUGAGCUCAAACCCCUCCUCGGACACUUCCUAAGUCUGUGAGCCCCGCCAAGUCUUUGCCUUAGUUUCCUUGUCUGUAAAAUGGGGAUAACAGUAGCAUCCACCUUUCAUGGCUGUUGUGAGGACCGGAUGAGAUGAUGUUUGUACUACGUUAAUGAUUAUCGUUGUUAUUACGACAGUGCCUUCGGUUAAUCUUCCUAGAGCAAGAUCUUGGGGGUCUUCACCAUGCUGGUUGUACUCUUCUGGAUGGCUCCGGAUGGCUCCGGCGUGGAGGCCCCCAGCAUUCAAUUCAACCAUCCAGACGUGUUCUUACCAGGGUCUGUCACCUCCCUGCUGCUGGACGAAGACUCCAUUAUAUUUCUUGUCUCCAAUAUCACCCUAAUGUCUCACAUUCAGUUUGCAAUCCCCUAAGACUCCCAUUUCUUUCUCAAAUGACUGCUUUCUGGUCACAUCCUUCACCAACCCCCACCCCAUGAUCCUGUACCAACGAAGCUGACUUUUGAAUGUUGAAAUUUCAUCUCUCUUAAUUUUGACGUUUGGAUCAGCUCAACAUUACGUCCAUCAAAGAAUAAAUGAAUGGAAAGCA